UGCGUAGGCAGCAAGCGUUGUUCGGAGUUACUGGGCGGAAAGGGUGCGUAGGCGGCUUUUUAAGUUUGGUGUGAAAUCUCCCGGCUCAACUGGGAGGGUGCGCCGAAUACUGAGAAGCUAGAGUGUGGGAGAGGAAAGUGGAAUUCCUGGUGUAGCGGUGAAAUGCGUAGAUAUCAGGAGGAACACCGGUGGUGUAAACGGCUUUCUGGACCAUAACUGACGCUGAGGCACGAAAGCGUGGGUAGCAAACAGG
rnacentral:rRNA from 1 species